rnacentral:lncRNA from 1 species
UAAUUUUCUCUCUGUACCCAAAAUCCUCUCACUUCUCUCAAAACAAAUCUUCUUUUCUUAAGUUUCCUCGGAUGGUCCAGCCUUUGGCCGUUGACCUCUCCCCCAAUGUAAUCCUAUUAGUUUCAGUUUUUUAUUUUUGUUUUCGUUUAGUUGCUCUUAUGUUUUUAGUCUCCAUUUGGAGUUUCAGUCCCUCCUUUGGUUGAGUUUUUAGUUUUUCAGCUUCAGUGGCUGUUGGGAGAGUGCUUGCAUGCACGCUUUUUCUCCUCGUUGAUGGAUCUGCAACGUUUUCUCGGCGUCUAGUUUGCUAGAGCAGGAUAUGGGAUCUGCUUUCCUAUGUAAGCGCUAGUCUUUGGGUUCGAGAUGGGAGAUGGUACAAGCUAGAUUUGUCGUCCCUUUCCUCAUUUGCAGCUACUCCUUCCCUCUUGGUGGAAGAUGAUGAGUUCGAGGUUUUCUCUUUACCUCGUGUGUGUCUUUGACUGAGCCUUGGAGUGUGGUCCUGGAUUUGGAAGGUGGUCCGACAGUCCUUAAGCCAGAGUUUCUUCUUGCCUGAGCUUGUUUGUUUAGACUUUCUUUGUAAGGCUUCAGUUCUAUGGUUUUGGCUUAGUUUAGUUUUGCAAAUGAGCUGUAUUUUGGGUUUCUAUCCUUAUAUUUUUUUCCUAUCAAUGAAUUCUUUUUCCUUUUGGGAACAAAAAA